rnacentral:misc_RNA from 1 species
AGCAGUCGCGGUAAUUCCAGCUCCAAUAGCGUAUAUUAAAGUUGUUGCAGUUAAAAGCUCGUAGUUGAAUUUCGGGAUCAAUAUGUCGGUCGUGCCUUCGGUACGUACUGGUAUCAUUGGUCUCUCCUUUCUGACGAACCAUGAUGUCAUUAAUUUGGUGUUAUGGGGAGUUAGGACUGUUACUUUGAAAAAAUUAGAGUGUUUAAAGCAGGCUUUAGCUUGAAUACAUUAGCAUGGAAUAAUGAAAUAGGACGUUCGAACCUAUUUUGUUGGUUUCUAGGAUCAACGUAAUGAUUAAUAGGGAUAGUUGGGGGCAUUAGUAUUCAAUUGUCAGAGGUGAAAUUCUUGGAUUUAUUGAAGACUAACUACUGCGAAAGCAUUUGCCAAGGAUGUUUUCAUUAAUCAAGAACGAAAGUUAGGGGAUCGAAGACGAUCAGAUACCGUCGUAGUCUUAACCAUAAACUAUGCCGACUAGGGAUCGGAUGAUGUUAAUUUUUUAAUGACUCAUUCGGCGCCUUAC